rnacentral:pre_miRNA from 13 species
UGCGCUGGUUUUUGCCGCGGUGAUAUUCCAACGUCAUGAUUAUCACCGGGUGAAAAUACAGCACAGGCCCAAUCC